rnacentral:rRNA from 1 species
AUUGAACGCUGGCGGCAUGCUUUACACAUGCAAGUCGAACGGCAGCGCGGGCUUCGGCCUGGCGGCGAGUGGCGAACGGGUGAGUAAUGCAUCGGAACGUGCCCAGUAGUGGGGGAUAGCCCGGCGAAAGCCGGAUUAAUACCGCAUACGACCUGAGGGUGAAAGCGGGGGACCGAAAGGCCUCGCGCUAUUGGAGCGGCCGAUGUCGGAUUAGCUAGUUGGUGGGGUAACGGCUUACCAAGGCGACGAUCCGUAGCUGGUCUGAGAGGACGACCAGCCACACUGGGACUGAGACACGGCCCAGACUCCUACGGGAGGCAGCAGUGGGGAAUUUUGGACAAUGGGGGCAACCCUGAUCCAGCCAUGCCGCGUGCGGGAAGAAGGCCUUCGGGUUGUAAACCGCUUUUGUUCGGGAAGAAAUCCUCUGGGCUAAUACCCCGGGGGGAUGACGGUACCGGAAGAAUAAGCACCGGCUAACUACGU